GUCCGCAUGGCUCAGUGGUCAGAGCAUCUGCUUAGUAAGCAGGAGACCCGGGUUCGAACUCUGGUCCGGCACA